GUAGGUGGCAAGCGUUGUCCGGAAUUAUUGGGCGUAAAGCGCGCGCAGGCGGUUCUUUAAGUCUGAUGUGAAAGCCCACGGGCUCAACCGUGGAGGGUCAUUGGAAACUGGAGAACUUGAGUACAGAAGAGGAAAGCGGAAUUCCACGUGUAGCGGUGAAAUGCGUAGAGAUGUGGAGGAACACCAGUGGCGAAGGCGGCUUUCUGGUCUGUAACUGACGCUGAGGCGACGAAAGCGGUGGGGAGACAAACAGGAUUAGACUACCCUGGUAGUCCACGACCGUAAACGAUGAGUGCUAGUUUAGGGGGUUUCCGCCCCUUAGUGCUGCAGCUAACGCAUUAAGCACUCCGCCUGGGGAGUACGGCCGCAAAGGCUG
rnacentral:rRNA from 1 species